GCCAGUGUGGCAUAGUGUUUUUAGUGUUGGAUUAAGACUCUGCAGAUCAGGGUUCAAAUCCCCACUUGUC